UACGUAGGCAGCAAGCGUUGUUCGGAAUUACUGGGCGUAAAGAGUGCGUAGGUGGUGUUCCAAGUCUGGUGUGAAAUCUCCCGGCUCAACUGGGAGGGUGCGCCGGAAACUGGAAUGCUUGAGGGUGGGAGAGGUAAGCGGAAUUCCUGGUGUAGCGGUGAAAUGCGUAGAUAUCAGGAGGAACACCUGUGGUGUAGACAGCUUACUGGACCACUUCUGACACUGAGGCACGAAAGCGUGGGUAGCAAACAGG
rnacentral:rRNA from 1 species